GCACUCUUGGUUUAGUGGUAAAAUCAGCGCUUCCCACAUCAUUCAUCAACCAAAAUUAGUGAAUUUGUGAAGUUGCGCUGGCCCCGGGUUCGAUUCCCGGAGGGUGCA
rnacentral:tRNA from 1 species